GCCAGGCGCAGUGGCGCAUGCCUAUGGUCUCAGCUACUACCCAGGAGGCUGAGGCGGGAGGAUUGCUUGAGUCCAGGAGUUCUGGGCUGUAGUGCGCUAUGUUGAUCGGGUGUCAGCACUAAGUUUGGCAUCAAUAUGGUGACCUCCUGGGAGUGUGGGACCACCAGGUUGCCUAAGGAGCGGUGAACCGGCCCAGGUUGGAAAUGGAGCAGGUCAAAACUCCCUUGUUGAUCAGUAGUGGGAUCGCACCUGUGAAAGCCACUGCACUCCAGCCUGGGCAACAUAGUGAGACCCUGUCUCUA
ensembl:misc_RNA Metazoa_SRP Metazoan signal recognition particle RNA